rnacentral:rRNA from 1 species
GGUUAAGCGACUAAGCGUACACGGUGGAUGCCCUGGCAGUCAGAGGCGAUGAAGGACGUGCUAAUCUGCGAAAAGCGUCGGUAAGGUGAUAUGAACCGUUAUAGCCGGCGAUGUCCGAAUGGGGAAACCCAGUGUGAUUCGUCACACUAUCGUUAACUGAAUACAUAGGUUAACGAGGCGAACCGGGGGAACUGAAACAUCUAAGUACCCCGAGGAAAAGAAAUCAACCGAGAUUCCCCCAGUAGCGGCGAGCGAACGGGGAGCAGCCCAGAGUCUGAAUCAGCUUGUGUGUUAGUGGAACGGUCUGGAAAGUCCGACGGUACAGGGUGAUAGUCCCGUACACCAAAAUGCACAGGCUGUGAACUCGAAGAGUAGGGCGGGACACGUGGUAUCCUGUCUGAAUAUGGGGGGACCAUCCUCCAAGGCUAAAUACUCCUGACUGACCGAUAGUGAACCAGUACCGUGAGGGAAAGGCGAAAAGAACCCCGGCGAGGGGAGUGAAAAAGAACCUGAAACCGUGUACGUACAAGCAGUGGGAGCACCUUUAUGGUGUGACUGCGUACCUUUUGUAUAAUGGGUCAGCGACUUAUAUUCUGUAGCAAGGUUAACCGUAUAGGGGAGCCGCAGGGAAACCGAGUCUUAACUGGGCGUUAAGUUGCAGGGUAUAGACCCGAAACCCGGUGAUCUAGCCAUGGGCAGGUUGAAGGUUGGGUAACACUAACUGGAGGACCGAACCGACUAAUGUUGAAAAAUUAGCGGAUGACUUGUGGCUGGGGGUGAAAGGCCAAUCAAACCGGGAGAUAGCUGGUUCUCCCCGAAAGCUAUUUAGGUAGCGCCUCGUGAACUCAUCUUCGGGGGUAGAGCACUGUUUCGGCUAGGGGGUCAUCCCGACUUACCAACCCGAUGCAAACUACGAAUACCGAAGAAUGUUAUCACGGGAGACACACGGCGGGUGCUAACGUCCGUCGUGAAGAGGGAAACAACCCAGACCGCCAGCUAAGGUCCCAAAGUCAUGGUUAAGUGGGAAACGAUGUGGGAAGGCACAGACAGCCAGGAUGUUGGCUUAGAAGCAGCCAUCAUUUAAAGAAAGCGUAAUAGCUCACUGGUCGAGUCGGCCUGCGCGGAAGAUGUAACGGGGCUAAACCAUGCACCGAAGCUGCGGCAGCGACACUAUGUGUUGUUGGGUAGGGGAGCGUUCUGUAAGCCUGCGAAGGUGACCUGUGAGGGUUGCUGGAGGUAUCAGAAGUGCGAAUGCUGACAUAAGUAACGAUAAAGCGGGUGAAAAGCCCGCUCGCCGGAAGACCAAGGGUUCCUGUCCAACGUUAAUCGGGGCAGGGUGAGUCGACCCCUAAGGCGAGGCCGAAAGGCGUAGUCGAUGGGAAACAGGUUAAUAUUCCUGUACUUGGUGUUACUGCGAAGGGGGGACGGAGAAGGCUAUGUUAGCCGGGCGACGGUUGUCCCGGUUUAAGCAUGUAGGCUGGUUAUCCAGGCAAAUCCGGAUAAUCAAGGCUGAGGUGUGAUGACGAGGCACUACGGUGCUGAAGUAACAAAUGCCCUGCUUCCAGGAAAAGCCUCUAAGCAUCAGGUAACAUCAAAUCGUACCCCAAACCGACACAGGUGGUCAGGUAGAGAAUACCAAGGCGCUUGAGAGAACUCGGGUGAAGGAACUAGGCAAAAUGGUGCCGUAACUUCGGGAGAAGGCACGCUGGUGUGUAGGUGAAGUCCCUGCGGAUGGAGCUGAGACCAGUCGAAGAUACCAGCUGGCUGCAACUGUUUAUUAAAAACACAGCACUGUGCAAACACGAAAGUGGACGUAUACGGUGUGACGCCUGCCCGGUGCCGGAAGGUUAAUUGAUGGGGUUAUCCGUAAGGAGAAGCUCUUGAUCGAAGCCCCGGUAAACGGCGGCCGUAACUAUAACGGUCCUAAGGUAGCGAAAUUCCUUGUCGGGUAAGUUCCGACCUGCACGAAUGGCGUAAUGAUGGCCAGGCUGUCUCCACCCGAGACUCAGUGAAAUUGAACUCGCUGUGAAGAUGCAGUGUACCCGCGGCAAGACGGAAAGACCCCGUGAACCUUUACUAUAGCUUGACACUGAACAUUGAGCCUUGAUGUGUAGGAUAGGUGGGAGGCUUUGAAGCGUGGACGCCAGUCUGCGUGGAGCCAACCUUGAAAUACCACCCUUUAAUGUUUGAUGUUCUAACGUUGGCCCCUUAUCGGGGUUGCGGACAGUGUCUGGUGGGUAGUUUGACUGGGGCGGUCUCCUCCCAAAGCGUAACGGAGGAGCACGAAGGUUAGCUAAUCCUGGUCGGACAUCAGGAGGUUAGUGCAAUGGCAUAAGCUAGCUUGACUGCGAGCGUGACGGCGCGAGCAGGUGCGAAAGCAGGUCAUAGUGAUCCGGUGGUUCUGAAUGGAAGGGCCAUCGCUCAACGGAUAAAAGGUACUCCGGGGAUAACAGGCUGAUACCGCCCAAGAGUUCAUAUCGACGGCGGUGUUUGGCACCUCGAUGUCGGCUCAUCACAUCCUGGGGCUGAAGUAGGUCCCAAGGGUAUGGCUGUUCGCCAUUUAAAGUGGUACGCGAGCUGGGUUUAGAACGUCGUGAGACAGUUCGGUCCCUAUCUGCCGUGGGCGCUGGAGAAUUGAGGGGGGCUGCUCCUAGUACGAGAGGACCGGAGUGGACGCAUCACUGGUGUUCGGGUUGUCAUGCCAAUGGCACUGCCCGGUAGCUAAAUGCGGAAGAGAUAAGUGCUGAAAGCAUCUAAGCACGAAACUUGCCCCGAGAUGAGUUCUCCCUGAGACUUUAAGUCUCCUGAAGGAACGUUAAAGACGAUGACGUUGAUAGGCCGGGUGUGUAAGCGCAGCGAUGCGUUGAGCUAACCGGUACUAAUGAACCGUGAGGCUUAACCUU